rnacentral:lncRNA from 1 species
ACAACAGUGCCAAGACAGAAUUAGCAGAAUAUGUCAGCUGCUGAAGAUGAGUUUCCGGCCAUCUGAAGGGAAACUGGAUAUUGCACCAGAGAACCGCAAUGUCCACUAUUAACAGCAAUAACUUGCAACUGACUUGAGCUACUGGCAGGUGUUUCAGUGAGAGGCAUUCCCUUGGCAGCCACUGCAGGUGUUUCGGUGAGAGGCAUUCCCUUGGCAGCCACUCCCUUCAGCCGGUAUCGCUCUGCCCGAGAUCCAAUAACCUGUCCUAAUAUAGAUGCUCCAAUGGUAAAUGCCAUGGCUGACUUUGGCAUCAAUAUGGAUUUCCUAAGCAUGGCU